AAACAUUGAAAAGCAGCAGCAUGUCUCAGGAAGUGCUGGGAAAAAGUGAGGUAAGAGAGAAGCUGCAUUCCUGGCAUAGUACCAGAUGUGCUGUGUUAGG